rnacentral:siRNA from 1 species
UAAAACACAUUGGGUGAAACAACA